CGAAAUAUGGUUGUACUUAUUCU
rnacentral:snRNA from 1 species